GACGAACGCUGGCGGCGUGCUUAACACAUGCAAGUCGAACGGAAAGGCCCUGCUUUUGUGGGGUGCUCGAGUGGCGAACGGGUGAGUAACACGUGAGUAACCUGCCCUUGACUUUGGGAUAACUUCAGGAAACUGGGGCUAAUACCGGAUAGGAGCUCCUGCUGCAUGGUGGGGGUUGGAAAGUUUCGGCGGUUGGGGAUGGACUCGCGGCUUAUCAGCUUGUUGGUGGGGUAGUGGCUUACCAAGGCUUUGACGGGUAGCCGGCCUGAGAGGGUGACCGGCCACAUUGGGACUGAGAUACGGCCCAGACUCCUACGGGAGGCAGCAGUGGGGAAUAUUGCACAAUGGGCGGAAGCCUGAUGCAGCAACGCCGCGUGCGGGAUGACGGCCUUCGGGUUGUAAACCGCUUUCGCCUGUGACGAAGCGUGAGUGACGGUAAUGGGUAAAGAAGCACCGGCUAACUACGUGCCAGCAGCCGCGGUGAUACGUAGGGUGCGAGCGUUGUCCGGAUUUAUUGGGCGUAAAGGGCUCGUAGGUGGUUGAUCGCGUCGGAAGUGUAAUCUUGGGGCUUAACCCUGAGCGUGCUUUCGAUACGGGUUGACUUGAGGAAGGUAGGGGAGAAUGGAAUUCCUGGUGGAGCGGUGGAAUGCGCAGAUAUCAGGAGGAACACCAGUGGCGAAGGCGGUUCUCUGGGCCUUUCCUGACGCUGAGGAGCGAAAGCGUGGGGAGCGAACAGGCUUAGAUACCCUGGUAGUCCACGCUGUAAACGGUGGGUACUAGGUGUGGGGUCCAUUCCACGGGUUCCGUGCCGUAGCUAACGCUUUAAGUACCCCGCCUGGGGAGUACGGCCGCAAGGCUAAAACUCAAAGGAAUUGACGGGGCCCCGCACAAGCGGCGGAGCAUGCGGAUUAAUUCGAUGCAACGCGUAGAACCUUACCUGGGUUUGACAUGGAUUGGGAGUGCUCAGAGAUGGGUGUGCCUCUUUUGGGGUCGGUUCACAGGUGGUGCAUGCCUGUCGUCAGCUCGUGUCGUGAGAUGUUGGGUUAAGUCCCGCAACGAGCGCAACCCUUGUUCACUGUUGCCAGCACGUUAUGGUGGGGACUCAGUGGAGACCGCCGGGGUCAACUCGGAGGAAGGUGGGGAUGACGUCAAGUCCCCAUGCCCCUUAUGUCCAGGGCUUCACGCAUGCUACAAUGGCUGGUACAGAGAGUGGCGAGCCUGUGAGGGUGAGCGAAUCUCGGAAAGCCGGUCUCAGUUCGGAUUGGGGUCUGCAACUCGACCUCAUGAAGUCGGAGUCGCUAGUAAUCGCAGAUCAGCAACGCUGCGGUGAAUACGUUCCCGGGGC
rnacentral:rRNA from 1 species